UGGGGAAUUUUGGACAAUGGGCGCAAGCCUGAUCCAGCAAUGCCGCGUGAGUGAAGAAGGCCUUCGGGUUGUAAAGCUCUUUUGUCAGGGAAGAAACGGCUGCGGCUAAUAUCCGCGGCUAAUGACGGUACCUGAAGAAUAAGCACCGGCUAACUACGUGCCAGCAGCCGCGGUAAUACGUAGGGUGCAAGCGUUAAUCGGAAUUACUGGGCGUAAAGCGUGCGCAGGCGGUUUUGUAAGUCUGACGUGAAAUCCCCGGGCUCAACCUGGGAAUUGCGUUGGAGACUGCAAGGCUGGAGUUUGGCAGAGGGGGGUAGAAUUCCACGUGUAGCAGUGAAAUGCGUAGAGAUGUGGAGGAACACCGAUGGCGAAGGCAGCCCCCUGGGUCAAGACUGACGCUCAUGCACGAAAGCGUGGGGAGCAAACA
rnacentral:rRNA from 1 species